AGAGUUUGAUCAUGGCUCAGAUUGAACGCUGGCGGCAGGCCUAACACAUGCAAGUCGAGCGGUAGCACAGAGAGCUUGCUCUCGGGUGACGAGCGGCGGACGGGUGAGUAAUGUCUGGGAAACUGCCUGAUGGAGGGGGAUAACUACUGGAAACGGUAGCUAAUACCGCAUAAUGUCGCAAGACCAAAGUGGGGGACCUUCGGGCCUCAUGCCAUCAGAUGUGCCCAGAUGGGAUUAGCUAGUAGGUGGGGUAAUGGCUCACCUAGGCGACGAUCCCUAGCUGGUCUGAGAGGAUGACCAGCCACACUGGAACUGAGACACGGUCCAGACUCCUACGGGAGGCAGCAGUGGGGAAUAUUGCACAAUGGGCGCAAGCCUGAUGCAGCCAUGCCGCGUGUGUGAAGAAGGCCUUCGGGUUGUAAAGCACUUUCAGCGGGGAGGAAGGCGAUAAGGUUAAUAACCUUGUCGAUUGACGUUACCCGCAGAAGAAGCACCGGCUAACUCCGUGCCAGCAGCCGCGGUAAUACGGAGGGUGCAAGCGUUAAUCGGAAUUACUGGGCGUAAAGCGCACGCAGGCGGUCUGUCAAGUCGGGUGUGAAAUCCCCGGGCUCAACCUGGGAACUGCAUUCGAAACUGGCAGGCUAGAGUCUUGUAGAGGGGGGUAGAAUUCCAGGUGUAGCGGUGAAAUGCGUAGAGAUCUGGAGGAAUACCGGUGGCGAAGGCGGCCCCCUGGACAAAGACUGACGCUCAGGUGCGAAAGCGUGGGGAGCAAACAGGAUUAGAUACCCUGGUAGUCCACGCCGUAAACGAUGUCGAUUUGGAGGUUGUGCCCUUGAGGCGUGGCUUCCGGAGCUAACGCGUUAAAUCGACCGCCUGGGGAGUACGGCCGCAAGGUUAAAACUCAAAUGAAUUGACGGGGGCCCGCACAAGCGGUGGAGCAUGUGGUUUAAUUCGAUGCAACGCGAAGAACCUUACCUGGUCUUGACAUCCACAGAACUUAGCAGAGAUGCUUUGGUGCCUUCGGGAACUGUGAGACAGGUGCUGCAUGGCUGUCGUCAGCUCGUGUUGUGAAAUGUUGGGUUAAGUCCCGCAACGAGCGCAACCCUUAUCCUUUGUUGCCAGCGGUCCGGCCGGGAACUCAAAGGAGACUGCCAGUGAUAAACUGGAGGAAGGUGGGGAUGACGUCAAGUCAUCAUGGCCCUUACGACCAGGGCUACACACGUGCUACAAUGGCAUAUACAAAGAGAAGCGACCUCGCGAGAGCAAGCGGACCUCAUAAAGUAUGUCGUAGUCCGGAUUGGAGUCUGCAACUCGACUCCAUGAAGUCGGAAUCGCUAGUAAUCGUAGAUCAGAAUGCUACGGUGAAUACGUUCCCGGGCCUUGUACACACCGCCCGUCACACCAUGGGAGUGGGUUGCAAAAGAAGUAGGUAGCUUAACCUUCGGGAGGGCGCUUACCACUUUGUGAUUCAUGACUGGGGUGAAGUCGUAACAAGGUAACCGUAGGGGAACCUGCGGUUG
rnacentral:rRNA from 1 species